rnacentral:rRNA from 1 species
AAAACGAUUAUGGCUCAGAUUGAACGCUGGCAGGAUGCUUUACACAUGCAAGUCGAACGGCAGCACGGACUUCGGUCUGGUGGCGAGUGGCGAACAGGUGAGUAAUGUAUCGGAACGUGCCUAGUAGCGGGGGAUAACUACGCGGCGUAGCUAAUACCGCAUGCGCCCUUCAGGAAAGCGGGGGGACCUUCGGGCCUCGCACUAUUAGAGCGGCCGAUAUCGGAUUAGCUGGUUAGGUGGGGUAACGGCUCGCAGGCGACGAUCCGUAGCUGGUUUGAGAGGACGACCAGCCACACUGGGACUGAGACACGGCCCAGACUCCUACGGGGAGGCAGCGGUGGGGAAUUUUGGACAAUGGGGAAACCCUGAUCCAGCCAUCCCGCGUGUGCGAUGAAGGCCUUCGGGUUGUAAAAGCACUUUUGGCGGAAAAACAGCUUUGGGAUAAUACCCCGUGCAACUGACGGUACCUGCAGAAUAAGCACCGGCUAACUACGUGCCAGCAGCCGCGGUAUGCAUCGGUGCAAGCGUUAAUCGGAAUUACUGGGCAUAAGCGUGCGCAGGCAGUUCGGAAAGAAGAUGUGAAAUCCCAGGCUUAACUUUUGGAACUGCACUUUUAACUAUGACUAGAGUGUCAGAGGGAGGUGGAAUUCCGCGUGUAGCAGUGAAAUGCGUAGAUAUGCGGAGGAACACCGAUAGCGAGGCAGCCUCUGGGAUAACACUGACGCUCAUUUUUGAAAAGUGGGGAGCAAACGGGAUUAGAUACCCUGGUAGUCCACGCCUAAACGAUGUCAACUAGCUGUUGGGGCCUUCGGGCCUUUGUGGCGCAACUAACGCGUGUAAGUUGACCGCCUGGGAGUACGGUCGCAAGAUUAAAACUCAAAGGAAUUGACGGGGACCCGCACAAACAGAUGAUGCCGUAGUUAAUUCGAUGCAACGCGAAAAACCUUACCUACCCUUGACAUGUCUGGAAUCCCGAAGAGAUUUGGGAGUGCUCGCAAAGAGAACGGAACACAGGUGCUGCAUGGCUGUCGUCAGCUCGUGUCGUGAGAUGUUGGGUUAAGUCCCGCAACGAGCGCAGCCCUUGUCAUUAGUUGCUACGAAAGGGCACUCUAAUGAGACUGCCGGUGACAAACCGGAGGAAGGUGGGGAUGACGUCAAGUCCUCAUGGCCCAUAUGGGUGAGGGACUACACGUCAUACAAUGGUCGGGACAGAGGGUCGCCAACCCGCGAGGGGAGCCAAUCCCAGAAACCCGAUCGUAGUCCGGAUCGCAGUCUGCAACCGACUGCGUGAAGUCGGAAUCGCUAGUAAUCGCGGAUCAGCAUGUCGCGGUGCGAAUACGUUCCCGGGUCUUGUACACACCGCCCGUCACACCAUGGGGUGGGUUUACCAGAAGUAGUUAGCCUAACCGUAAGGAGGCGAUUACCACGGUAAGUUCAUGACUGGGGUGAAGUCGUAACAAGGUAA